GGAUCUGUAGCUCAACCGGAUUAGAGCAUACGCUUGAUAAGCGUAAGGUUAAUGGUUCGAUUCCAUUCAGAUCCA
rnacentral:tRNA from 2 species